GAUGAACGCUGGCGGCGUGCCUAAUACAUGCAAGUCGAGCGAACAGACGAGGAGCUUGCUCCUCUGACGUUAGCGGCGGACGGGUGAGUAACACGUGGAUAACCUACCUAUAAGACUGGGAUAACUUCGGGAAACCGGAGCUAAUACCGGAUAAGAUAUUGAACCGCAUGGUUCAAUAGUGAAAGACGGUUUUGCUGUCACUUAUAGAGGGAUCCGCGCCGCAUUAGCUAGUUGGUAAGGUAACGGCUUACCAAGGCAACGAUGCGUAGCCGACCUGAGAGGGUGAUCGGCCACACUGGAACUGAGACACGGUCCAGACUCCUACGGGAGGCAGCAGUGGGGAAUAUUCCGCAAUGGGCGAAAGCCUGACGGAGCAACGCCGCGUGAGUGAUGAAGGUCUUCGGAUCGUAAAACUCUGUUAUUAGGGAAGAACAAAUGUGUAAGUAACUAUGCACGUCUUGACGGUACCUAAUCAGAAAGCCACGGCUAACUACGUG
rnacentral:rRNA from 1 species